UGGUAUCUCUAACCAAUGGUUGUG
rnacentral:siRNA from 1 species